rnacentral:lncRNA from 1 species
UGCGCUGGGGGGUCUGAUGCUGGUCCGGCGCGUGAGGCAGGCUCGCGGAAGAAGAGGAGGCAGACGACUGGGAGAUUGAAAUGGAUGAGAGCUGCGGCAGGUUCUUCGGAUGCUGGGUAGAAGCUGGGACGCUUGGAUGCGGGAGAGUGUAUCUGGAAGGUGAUUGCGGGCGGAUCCGGAUUCCAUGAGCUGGGAGGUUGCUCACUGACGACUGCAGGCGAGAUGGAAUGCG